AAGAGCUCCGUUUCACAUGUCUCUCACACUUCACAUUAAAAAAAAUUUCAAAAUUUCGAAUUUCGAAUUUCUUGUUCUUCACAAAUCUCUCUCUUUAUAAACGCUGAUGAUGAUGAGAGGAGGAGGAGGAGGAGGAGGAGAAGGUGAAUCGUGGUCUGAGAUGGAGGCGAUGAUAGCUAAGAAGAUGGUUGAGGAGGAGGUUGAAACAGAGAGCAGUGGUUCGUCGGAAGCUGAGACAGAGUCUCCUAGAUCGGUGGGACGUUGGAUCACGGCUAAGGAGAGAGUUGUUCAUAGCCAGGUUUUGAAGAUCAGGGAAGAGGAUCUCUACGUUCUCCUCGAAGACAAAGUGAUGAUGAUCAAUCCAGUGGAGGAUCAUCGACGAUUUAUACGUCCACGUCGUUUUAAUCUGUUACUGAUCACUCGGCAAAACCUGCCUUGUUCGCCUCUUAGCGGUAAAGUGAGAUCUUCCUAGAUCAAAGGCGAUACUCAUCCUCUGCGUUUACUGUUUUACUUUCUCUGUUUCGUUAUGUUUUCUGGAAGAUCCUUUAAGAGAGUGUCUUUUUUUUUUUUUUGUUUCUUUUUAAUCUGGUCAUCAAAUGUCAUGUGUAUAUAAAACCGUGAAUGUAUAUAUGAAUGAGCUCCGAUCCAUGAGACUUUAUGCUCUUAUCACUUUUGUUUUAA